rnacentral:rRNA from 1 species
CAAGGUUUCCGUAGGUGAACCUGCGGAAGGAUCAUUGUCGUUUGUUCGGAAAAACACGACCCUGUGCACGUAACCUAUCCACCGCUGCCGGGGAGGCACCGCCUCCUCGGCCCACCGGCCACGGCCCUCGCUUUUGGGCCGUGCGCCGGAAAUACGGCGCGGUCUGCGCCAAGGAACACGAGAUGCUGAGGCGGCCGGCGGAGCGCGCUCUGCCUGCCGUCGACGCAAAGGAAUACAUGAUGACUCUCGGCAACGGAUAUCUCGGCUCUCGCAUCGAUGAAGAACGUAGCGAAAUGCGAUACGUGGUGUGAAUUGCAGAAUCCCGCGAACCAUCGAGUCUUUGAACGCAAGUUGCGCCCGAGGGAUCCGCCCGAGGGCACGCCUGCCUGGGCGUUAGAAGCCCAUCCACGCUCGGUGCUUGUGCGGCACCGAUGCGGACCGUGGCCCUCCGAGCCCACGCGGCACGGUGGGCCUAAGUGUGCGGCCGCCGGGGGAGCCGGGAGCGGCGAGUGGUGGAACGCUGCGUACGCCGCCCCGUGCCCCUUGCCGGCAGACGGCCUUGACCGACCCUCGAACGAGGAGCCGUGCCUGCCGAGGCGCGGCCCUUUCGGAUCGAUACCCCACCCAGAGACACAAACCCCA